AUUGCACGCUGGCGGCAGGCCUAACACAUGCAAGUCGAACGAGUGGCGGACGGGUGAGUAAUGUCUGGGCAACUGCCUGAGGGAGGGGGAUAACUACUGGAAACGGUAGCUAAUACCGCAUACCAUCGGAUGUGCCCAGAUGGGAUUAGCUAGUAGGUGGGGUAAAGGCUCACCUAGGCGACGCUCCCUAGCUGGUCUGAGAGGAUGACCAGCCACACUGGAGAUGAGGUACGGUGCCGACUCCUACGGGAGGCAGCAGUGGGGAAUAUUGCACACUGGGCGCAAGCCUGAUGCAGCCCUGCCGCGUGUAUGAAGAAGGCCUUCGGGUUGUAAAGUACUUUCAGCGGGGAGGCGUUACCCGCAGAAGAAGCACCGGCUAACUCCGUGCCAGCAGCCGCGGUAAUUC
rnacentral:rRNA from 1 species